GAUGAACGCUGGCGGCGUGCCUAAUACAUGCAAGUCGAGCGAACGGACGAGAAGCUUGCUUUUCUGAUGUUAGCGGCGGACGGGUGAGUAACACGUGGAUAACCUACCUAUAAGACUGGGAUAACUUCGGGAAACCGGAGCUAAUACCGGAUAAUAUUUUGAACCUCAUGGUUCAAAAGUGAAAGACGGUCUUGCUGUCACUUAUAGCUGGAUCCGCGCUGCAUUAGCUAGUUGGUAAGGUAACGGCUUACCAAGGCAACGAUGCAUAGCCGACCUGAGAGGGUGAUCGGCCACACUGGAACUGAGACACGGUCCAGACUCCUACGGGAGGCAGCAGUAGGGAAUCUUCCGCAAUGGGCGAAAGCCUGACGGAGCAACGCCGCGUGAGUGAUGAAGGUCUUCGGAUCGUAAAACUCUGUUAUUAGGGAAGAACAUAUGUGUAAGUAACUGUGCACAUCUUGACGGUACCUAAUCAGAAAGCCACGGCUAACUACGUG
rnacentral:rRNA from 1 species